rnacentral:rRNA from 1 species
CGUGUAGGCGGUCAGGUAGGUCGGUUGUGAAAACUGGAGGCUCAACCUUCAGAGGUCGACCGAAACCCCCUGGCUAGAGUCCGGGAGAGGAGAGUGGAAUUCCUGGUGUAGCGGUGAAAUGCGCAGAUAUCAGGAAGAACACCCGUGGCGAAAGCGGCUCUCUGGAACGGUACUGACGCUGAGACGCGAAAGCGUGGGGAGCGAACA